rnacentral:rRNA from 1 species
UAGGGAAUCUUCGGCAAUGGGGGGAACCCUGACCGAGCAACGCCGCGUGAGUGAAGAAGGUUUUCGGAUCGUAAAGCUCUGUUGUUAAGGAAGAACGAGUGUGAGAAUGGAAAGUUCAUACUGUGACGGUACUUAACCAGAAAGGGACGGCUAACUACGUGCCAGCAGCCGCGGUAAUACGUAGGUCCCGAGCGUUGUCCGGAUUUAUUGGGCGUAAAGCGAGCGCAGGCGGUUAGAUAAGUCUGAAGUUAAAGGCAGUGGCUCAACCAUUGUAGGCUUUGGAAACUGUUUAACUUGAGUGCAGAAGGGGAGAGUGGAAUUCCAUGUGGAGCGGUGAAAUGCGUAGAUAUAUGGAGGAACGCCGGUGGCGAAAGCGGCUCUCUGGUCUGUAACUGACGCUGAGGCUCGAAAGCGUGGGGAGCGAACAGG